GCUAAGUCUGCCCAGUGAUGUAAAUACGUUUAACGGCCGCAGUACAUUGACUNUGCUAAGGUAGCAUAAUAAUUUGUCUUUUAAUUGAAGACUGGAAUGAAAGGCAUCAUGGGGAUAAGCUGUCUUAUAUUUAUUUUCUUAAAUUUGCUUAGGAGGUGAAAAUUCCUCUACGAAGAACAUAAGACGAGAAGACCCUUAGAAUUAUUAACAACACAGUAGUGACUGAAAAGUUUUUGUUGGGGCAACAUUAUCAGAGAUUAACUGAUAUCGCUUGAAGUUUUACAAUACCAUUGUAUUGAGUAGGAAUUUAAUUACCUAAGGGAUAACAGCAUAAUUCAAGUAUGAGAGUAUGACCUCGAUGUUGGACUAGGGACUUUUUACACUAGCCGUGUAUGAAGAUUGUUCUGUUCGAACAGUAGUACCCUACGUGAUCUGAGU
rnacentral:rRNA from 1 species